UACAGAGGUCCCAAGCGUUGUUCGGAUUCACUGGGCGUAAAGGGUGCGUAGGUGGCCAGGUAAGUUUGGUGUGAAAGCUCGGAGCUUAACUCCGAAAAGUCAUUGAAUACUAUCUGGCUGGAGGGUCGGAGGGGAGACUGGAAUUCUCGGUGUAGCAGUGAAAUGCGUAGAUAUCGAGAGGAACACCAGUGGCGAAGGCGAGUCUCUGGACG
rnacentral:rRNA from 1 species